rnacentral:rRNA from 1 species
UACAGAGGGUGCGAGCGUUAAUCGGAAUUACUGGGCGUAAAGCGUGCGUAGACGGUUAUUUAAGUCGGGUUUGAAAGCCCCGGGCUCAACCUGGGAAUUGCAUUCGAGACUGAAUAGCUAGGGUACGGUAGAGGGAAGUGGAAUUUCAGGUGUAGCGGUGAAAUGCGUAGAUAUCGGAAGGAACAUCAGUGGCGAAAGCGACUUCCUGGACCAGUACCGACGUUCAGGCACGAAAGCGUGGGGAGCAAACAGG